UACGUAGGGGCCGAGCGUUGUCCGGAUUCAUUGGGCGUAAAGAGCGUGUAGGCGGCCGCUUAAGUCCUGCGUGAAAUCUCGGAGCUCAACUCCGAGCGGUCGUGGGAAACUGGGCGGCUAGAGUGCGGGAGAGGAGAGUGGAAUUCCUGGGUGUAGCGGUGGAAUGCGCAGAUAUCAGGAAGAACACCCGUGGCGAAGGCGCUCUCUGGAACGCAAC
rnacentral:rRNA from 1 species